AAUCACCCCUCCAGGAGUCUCUUAAUCUAGUCAAGUUAACAACUGAGAUUAACUGGGACAGCUGGUGAUGAAAGGGGAGGCAUGCCUUCCUAGCAUGCCAAUGGCCCUGGGUUCAAUCCCCAGCACCACUGCCACCCAUUCCUUGAUUAACUUCUUAGGAUGAAAUGUUUCAAACAUCCACAAAUACAGUGGUUAAAGCUGCAUUUUAAACCAGGCCUCAUUUCACCAGUUCUGGAUUGCUGGCCCCCAACCUCCCCACUUGGAUCAGAAUCAAGGCAAUGAGUGGUGAUGAUGAUAAUUGUCAUAAUAAUAGCAUGACAACAGCUAACAUUACUGCCUACUGGGGCUUAUGCUAAUAACUAAAAAGUCCCUGAAACCUAAACAGCCCCACAAGGUAGGUGCCUUUAAAUGCCAAUUUCAUGGGUAAGGAAGCCAAGGCACAGAGAACUGAAGGUACCUGGGUGAGGUCACAUGGUAAGCAGCUCUGACUCUAGAAGCCAUAGUCCCCACAACCUCCACUCAUUCCAACCCAGGCUCCAGCUGGGCGGGUCGGCACCUAGAGCCUCUCCACCACCAUGGUCAGAGUGCCCACAAAAGUCUUCCCCUGGACAAGACUGGAUGGUGGGACUUCUCACCCCUUCAAAGGGAAGCUCUGGAAGAAUGGCUUGCCCUGAGUUUUCAUUGCCAUCAUUUCCUCCCUCACAACAAAAGCAAUAUAAGUUCACGGUAAACAACUGGAGGAAAUCAGAACGUCAUUUAGAAGAUAAGAUUAUUCUUCUCCCCGAGAUGACCACUUCUGAUAUCAUGGCGAAUGUCUCCUAGCCUUUUUAUUUUCUAUUCAUAAUCAUCAUAAUGACAUCCCCCAGCCAUAGGAUUUGCUUUUUCACUUUGCUAAAUGUUUGAUCCUGUGCUAAGUAUCUUGCGCACAUCAUUUCAUUUAACUCUCAGUACAAUCAAAUUUUAUUUACACACAUACUUUGCACGUGUGUGUGCACACAUCUAUUUUACGGAUAGAAAACAGGUACAGAGAGGUAAAGUAGUUAGUAUAGGGUCACCCAACUGGUUAAUAAUACAGCCACAUUCAAACUCACAACUAUUUCACUCCAAUAAUUUGAACUGUUUCCUUACAACUUUCUGAAACAGGAAUCACCAACCCAAUCCAACGCAGAAGAAGUCUAAGCUUUGUGAUAAUUCUGUACCAACCUCCAAAAGUGGUCCCAAUUUACACUUCUGCCAAUAGGGCCUAGGAAGGCCUAUUUUGUCCACAUUUUUGCCUACACUGGACUUUACUUUUUAAAAAACCUACCUGUUAUGUAUGCUAAUAAGAUGUGCCAUUGCUUUUUCCAAUGGCAUUUCUUUAAUUUCAUUGUCUUUAGCCUCUGUCUGAAACUGUGACCCAACUUGUUAGAGUCAAAUGUUUUGCCAGUCCUAUGUUGUCCUACCCUGUUGUCCUAUGUGUCAGCACAAGAGGCACAUAGGAGAAGCUGAGUGAUCAAGUUAAGGGGCCCACCUUUGACCUUAGAAACAAGUCUUACCUGGACACAGGGUGCCCUGGAAUGUAGGUAUCACUCAGCCUACCUGAUGGAUGAAGAAAUUGAGACAGGUGGCCUCCACUAAGUUUUUGAUUCUGGCACUUCCUCUCUGUCCCUAACCUGCAUUCUGCUAUGUGUAAAAUUAUUAUACAUGAAGCUUCAACUCCAUAUAAGAAAUAUGAAGAUGGCGCCUGCCUCACAAGAGCAAGGUCCCGAGUUCGAUCUCCGGUACCAAAAAAAAAAAAAGAAAUAUGAAGAGAACUACAGCACGGUAAAUCAUAAUCCAAUUGAUCAAAUUCAGUGGUAAAGAAAAGUCUUAUAAGUAGCCAUUAAAAAAAAAUUAAGCUAAAGGGCUGGGGAUUUAGCUCAGUGGUGCCGCCGCCUUCCUGGAAAGCGCAAGGUCCUGAGUUUGAUCCCUGGUACAAAAAAAAAAAAGAAGCAUGCUACAUACUGAGGAAAAAAAGAUAAGAGUUUUAGCAAAUUUUGUGUUAAACCAAUGCAAUGGAACAAUAUCUUUAAAGUACUGAAAGAAAAAAAAAUCUGUACAUUUGGAAUUCUAUGUCCAGUAAUAGUAACUUAAAAAAAAAUGACUUUUUCAGACAUGGAAUAAUGGAAAUAAUUCAUCACCAGCCGGUCUACACUAUAAGAAAUGUUAACGUCUUUCAGGCUAAAGGAAUAUGAUACUAGAGAGAAACACAGUUCUGCAAAAAGCAAUGAAGCAUACUAGAAAUGGUAACUACAUGGAAAAAUAUAUACAAUUAUUUUUCUCAAUACUUCUAUCAAAAAUAACUGACCAGUGGUUCUGCCGCCUACCUCGCAGGCGCAAAGUUCCAAGUUCGAUCCCCGGUACCAAAACAAAAACAAAAAAACCCCUGACCAUUUAGAUACAAUAACAAUAUAGUGUUGUGUUUAUAAUGUACAUAAAAUAAAGUGCAUAUUAAAAAUAGCACAAGAGGGCCGGGGAUUUAGCUCAGUGGCACCGUGCCUACCUUGUAAGUGCAAGGUCCGGAGUUUGAUCCCCGGUACCAAAAAAAAAGAAAGAAAGAAAAAGAAAAGAAAAUAGCACAAGAACAGGACAGAAAUGGAAGUAUUGUAACAUUCUUUAUUAUAUAUGAAUGAUAUAUCACUUGAAAGUGAGCUGUGAUAAAUUAAAGAUGUAUAUUACAAACCAUGCAGCAAACACUAAAAUAACAAAAUUGAGUUAGAGAUAAUAAUCAACAUAAAGAUAAAACAGAAUGAUAAAAACAUUUAAUUCUAAAGGAGGCAGAAAAACAGGAAAAGAGGAACAAAGAAUAGAGAGGACAAAUAUAAAACAAAUAGCAAGAUAAAAGACUUAAGCCUCACUAUGCCAAUAAUCACAUUAAAUAAUAGUCUAAAUGUCCCAAAUAAAAGGCACAGACUUUCAGACUGGAUUUUUAAAAAAAGACCCAACUAUAUGUUGCCUACAAAAACUGAACUUCAAAUAUAAAAAUAUAACUAGGUUAAAAGAAAAAAGAUGGAGAAAUAUAGGCCAUUUUAACACUAAUCCACAGAAAAUCAGAAGGUUAUAGUAACAUCAAAAAAAGUGUAUUUCAGCAAUAAGGAAGGUCAUUUAAUAAAAAUAAACAAGUCAAUUCAUCAAGAUGAGUAAUAAUCCUAAACAUUUAUACAUCUACUAGCAAAUCUUCAAAAUAUAUGGAGAAAAAAUGAUCAGAAUGCAAGGAAAAAUAGACAAAUGCCCUAUUAUAGUCCGAGAUUUCUAUACUUCUCCCUCAUAAUUUCUAGAACAAGUGAACAGAAAAUAAGGAUACUGUUAUGGUUUGUGUCUAGAUGUCCCCCCUAAGCCUCAGGGGUCAUAGGUGGGGCUUUUCAGAGGUGGCUGGAUCUAGAGAGUGUGAUGCUGGG
rnacentral:lncRNA from 1 species